GCUAACUACGUGCCAGCAGCCGCGGUAAUACGUAGGGUGCAAGCGUUGUCCGGAUUUAUUGGGUUUAAAGGGUGCGUAGGCGGUCUAUUAAGUCAGUGGUGAAAUCCAACAGCUCAACUGUUGAUGUGCCAAUGAUACUGAUGGACUUGAGUACAGACGAGGUAGGCGGAAUUGACAGUGUAGCGGUGAAAUGCAUAGAUAUUGUCAAGAACACCGAUAGCGAAGGCAGCUUGCUAGCCUGUAACUGACGCUGAGGCACGAAAGUAUGGGGAUCAAACAGGAUUAGAUACCCUUGUAGUC
rnacentral:rRNA from 1 species